GUACCCAUAAACCUAGUUAAGAGCUAGUGGGUGGGAAAAAGGUUACUAAGAAUGUCUCUAGACUAAGAUUAAAUUGCUUCUUUUAAUGACCUAUAUCUGCAUCUAAAUCACAAUCAUUUCUCUCAGGAAACUAAUGAUUUAGAGUUUUAAAUUCCUCUAACUCUUAUUUAACUCCUUACAGGCAUUCUGAUCCUCUCCAAAACCAUAUCAUGGGGUUUUGCCAAAGAAAUCCCACAAAGUUCCAUGGAAAGGCUUUGAAUCUCAUUUCACUUCCAAGAUGCUCUCCAAAUUGGCAUGCCAAUGAUUUUAAGAACAAAACUAAAAUAAGGUUUUGAAAGAACACUAAUAAGAUAAAGGACAUCAGAGAAAAAUGAUCAAGAUGAAGAUAUUGAAAACCAUGCCCUGUGAGAGU
rnacentral:lncRNA from 1 species